rnacentral:tRNA from 1 species
GUUACUGUAGCUAGAGCAGCUGACUCUUAAUCAGCGGGCCCAGGGUUCGAGUCCCUGGAAGUGCACCA